CUUCUCCGAGGGCUGUUAGACGUUUUAUAUUUAUUAACGAAAGCGUCAUGUAUUCAACUUAUGAGGUUGCAUCUGUGCUGUGGUAGUCUUGGAUAUUGAAAUAACGUUAAAAGCAGGUUGAAUGAAAUGGUAACAGACCUUGAAAUGUAAAGCAGCCUUGUAGUUUGAUUAUCCCAGGAGGAAAGCAGCUCUGUAGUUGUGUGCCUAGAAUUUUUAUUGUUUGUAGAUUUGUUGAUG